rnacentral:rRNA from 1 species
AACGAACGCUGGCGGCAUGCCUAACACAUGCAAGUCGAACGAGACCUUCGGGUCUAGUGGCGCACGGGUGCGUAACGCGUGGGAACCUGCCUUUAGGUUCGGAAUAACAGUGAGAAAUUACUGCUAAUACCGGAUAAUGUCUUCGGACCAAAGAUGUUAUCGCCUUUAGAUGGGCCCGCGUAGGAUUAGCUAGUUGGUGGGGUAAAGGCCUACCAAGGCGACGAUCCUUAGCUGGUCUGAGAGGAUGAUCAGCCACACUGGGACUGAGACACGGCCCAGACUCCUACGGGAGGCAGCAGUGGGGAAUAUUGGACAAUGGGCGAAAGCCUGAUCCAGCAAUGCCGCGUGAGUGAUGAAGGCCUUAGGGUUGUAAAGCUCUUUUACCAGGGAUGAUAAUGACAGUACCUGGAGAAUAAGCUCCGGCUAACUCCGUGCCAGCCGCCGCCGUAAAAC